rnacentral:lncRNA from 1 species
CGGGGCGAGGGCAGAGGACGCGGGGGAUGAGAGGAGCGGGGCAGGUGAGGUGGGGACUAUGAGGGGAAUCACAGAAUGGUUCAGGCGGGAAGGGACCACAGUGGAUCCUCUGGUCUCACUUUCCAGUGCCAGCAGGGUCGUCCCAGAGCACGUGGCACAGAAUUAAGUCCAGAGGGUUCUGGGGUAUGUCCACUAAGUGUGACUCCCCAUCUUCUAUGGACAAUCCGUUAUAGUGAAGCUUCGUUGCACAGAAAAAGUUCUUUCUCAUGUUCAGGUGGAACUUCCUGUACAUCAGUUUCUGCCCGUUGUCUCUUGUUCUAUUGCUCAGCACCUCCAAGAAGGGCCUGAUCCAUCCUCUGACACUUCCCUGCAGACAUUGUUGAGGCCAGCUCUUCCCGAGGCUGAAGAAGCUCUACUCUCUCAGCUUUUCCUCAUGAAGCACUCCAGACCCUUAAUCAUCCUCGUUGCCCUCCGCUGGACCGGCUCCAAGAGCUCCAUGUCCUCCUGUAUUGAGUCCAGGACUGGACUUGGGGGAAGGCUGCCGGGUUAGCUGCAGUGCGAAGUGGCUUGUGAAUCCUGAGGGCUCGCAGGGUGAGCUUGCUGCCACAGGAGGAGUGGGAUGAUUCCCAGGCGUCGGGACUGUGGAAAGGAGCCGCUGCUCCUGGGCCCUCCCCAAGUCCUAGCUGAGAGGAGGCUGUAACCAGGUGGGAUCAGGCCCUUCUCCGGGGCAACCAGCGAUAGGACAAGAGGAUAUAACCUCAAACUGUGCCAGGCACAGGUUGGACUCGAUGAUCUUAGAGAUCUUUCCCAACCUAACUGAUUCUGUGAUUUCCCCCGCUGAUGUCACUGCUCUGUUGGGCUCUGCCACAGAGAAUAAAAAGCUUUUGAAGGUCAUCUUGACAGCCCCGCCUCAAGUGGUUCCUUUCUUGCUUGGGGCAGAGUCUUUGGUCCCCGAGGCUGGUGUGUCUGCAGAGCUGGGCAGUUCAGCUGCCACUUUUACAGCUGAACUUCUAGUUAGGAUUUCACAUCGCCUUGUUUGGUAUUGGAGCGCUCAGCCAAACCUGGUGUUCAGCGAGAGCAGCCAGAAAUGGAGAUGA